rnacentral:rRNA from 1 species
AGUGAACGCUGGCGGUAGGCCUAACACAUACAAGUCGAACGGCAGCACAGUAAGAGCUUGCUCUUACGGGUGGCGAGUGGCGGACGGGUGAGGAAUACAUCGGAAUCUACUUUUUCGUGGGGGAUAACGUAGGGAAACUUACGCUAAUACCGCAUACGACCUACGGGUGAAAGCAGGGGAUCUUCGGACCUUGCGCGAUUGAAUGAGCCGAUGUCGGAUUAGCUAGUUGGCGGGGUAAAGGCCCACCAAGGCGACGAUCCGUAGCUGGUCUGAGAGGAUGAUCAGCCACACUGGAACUGGAACACGGUCCAGACUCCUGAGGGAGGCAGCAGUGGGGAAUAUUGGACAAUGGGCGCAAGCCUGAUCCAGCCAUACCGCGUGGGUGAAGAAGGCCUUCGGGUUGUAAAGCCCUUUUGUUGGGAAAGAAAGGCAGCAGGUUAAUACCCCGCUGUUCUGACGGUACCCAAAGAAUAAGCACCGGCUAACUUCGUG